UACGAAGGGGGCUAGCGUUGCUCGGAAUUACUGGGCGUAAAGGGCGCGUAGGCGGAUGACUAAGUCGGGGGCGAAAGCCCGGGGCUCAACCUCGGAACUGCCUUCGAUACUGGUCAUCUUGAGUACGGGAGAGGUGUGUGGAACUCCGAGUGUAGAGGUGAAAUUCGUAGAUAUUCGGAAGAACACCAGUGGCGAAGGCGACACACUGGCCCGUUACUGACGCUGAGGCGCGAAAGCGUGGGGAGCAAACAGG
rnacentral:rRNA from 1 species